AAAAGCAACUCGACCAGUAGUAUUCCAGACAACAGGAUUCUAUUUAUCAACUUGUCAAAAUGAAAGGAUUGAUUUUAGUCGUGCUUUUGGUCACACUGAUGAUUUCAACUGAUGCGUUCAUGAUGCACAGUAGACAGCGUUGCCUCUGUCUGAAAACACGGGACCGUGUGAAUUUCAGUAACAUUGUCCAUUACAACGUUCAUCAGAGGAGUGCAAUGUGUGGCCACGUGGAGAUAGUGGUGAAGUUGAAAAUACCAUCAAAAAGUAUCUGCCUGAAUCCAGACUCUAAAAUGGGCAAGAUAAUACAGAUUAAGUGGAACCUGAAGAACUGAGCCAAACAUGAUAACACAAAACUAUGUAAUGAUGAUAUAACUGACUGUACUGACCAAAAAGUACAUGUAACUAUGUUGUCUUUCUUUGCAGUUUCAGCCAUUUUAAUUGUUCUACUGACAAUGCAAUUAGAAAGUGUAUUUCAGAGCUACAGGGUAAUGCCCAAAGCUUGUAACAACAAUCAUCUCUGCUAUGACAAGCCUGCAACAACAUUCUAGAACAUCUCUGCUAUGACAAGCCUGUAACAACAUUCUAGAACAUCUCUGCUAUGACAAGCCUGUAACAACAUUCUAGAACAUCUCUGCUAUGACAAGCCUGUAACAACAUUCUAGAACAUCUCUGCUAUGACAAGCCUGUAACAACAUUCUAGAACAUCUCUGCUAUGACAAGCCUGUAACAACAUUCUAGAACAUCUCUGCUAUGACAAGCCUGUAACAACAUUCUAGAACAUCUCUGCUAUGACAAGCCUGUAACAACAUUCUAGAACAUCUCUGCUAUGACAAGCCUGUAACAACAUUCUAGAACAUCUCUGCUAUGACAAGCCUGUAACAACAUUCUAGAACAUCUCUGCUAUGACAAGCCUGUAACAACAUUCUAGAACAUCUCUGCUAUGACAAGCCUGAAACAACAUUCUAGAACAUCUCUGCUAUGACAAGCCUGUAACAUCAAUCUAGAACAUCUCUUCUAUGACAAGCCUGUAACAACAUUCUAGAACAUCUCUGCUAUGACAAGCCUGUAACAACAUUCGAGAACAUGUAACGGGAAUUGAAAUGUUUGUGCUUUUCUUAUAACUCAUUUCUGUGUUCAUGGAAGUGACUGACUGAACCAAUCCUCACUAUCAGUAUCUGCAAUUUGGCAGUACGCCCAGACCUUGUUUUGAGAACGAAAGAUAUCUCAGUUUCAAGGUCUCAGCUUAGAGAGAAGAAGCCUUGUGAGGCUUUGGUCUGUCACAUGUUAUGAACCAGUAUUUGUCAUUCACUUGAAUGAAACAAAACGGUAAUGAUUAAUGAAUUAUGCUAAAUUAUGCAAAUAUAAUUUGUCUGUGUAUAGCCAUAAGACAACUGCUGGGACUGCCCCAGGAGAGAUCCUGAUUGACAUGUGUACUAUGGUGCAUUGAGUUGGUUGGAACUUCUCCAGCUCGCUGACAAUAAACAAUGAUUAAUAUUAA